rnacentral:rRNA from 1 species
AUGACGUCUGCAAAUGUAAUCAGUUAUCUAAGGCAAAGUCUGAAAGAGCCAUUUGGUAAAGAAAUCCAUGACACAGUUCUCCCUGCAACCCAACUCCAAAAUUCUGAUUUCAGCAUAUAUUUUCCGAGCAAAAGCAUGCAAGCGUCAAUGACUCCACAACAGAACAAAUCUGAUGCACAGCAAAAUUGUCUUUGGCAAACAAUCAUUUCCCAAAGUUUGCUACUCCCUUCGAUCCAUAGUAAUUGUCCAUUCUCUUAUAUUAAUAUGGAUCAGAGGGAGUACAUAUCUUGGUAUUACCCUAGGCCACCCCAUAUCAUCCAAAUUUAUUUUCAAAGAUGCAACACUUGCAGCGGUAGUAGCCUACACAGAGAGGUCAGAGCAGCAAUGCAGAUAGCCAACCAGUAG